rnacentral:rRNA from 1 species
GAACGCUAGCUACAGGCUUAACACAUGCAAGUCGAGGGGCAGCGGGAUUGAAGCUUGCUUCAAUUGCCGGCGACCGGCGCACGGGUGAGUAACGCGUAUCCAACCUGCCCAUCACUUGGGGAUAACCUUGCGAAAGUAAGACUAAUACCCAAUGAUAUCUCUAGAAGACAUCUGAAAGAGAUUAAAGAUUUAUCGGUGAUGGAUGGGGAUGCGUCUGAUUAGCUUGUUGGCGGGGUAACGGCCACCAAGGCGACGAUCAGUAGGGGUUCUGAGAGGAAGGUCCCCCACAUUGGAACUGAGACACGGUCCAAACUCCUACGGGAGGCAGCAGUGAGGAAUAUUGGUCAAUGGACGAGAGUCUGAACCAGCCAAGUAGCGUGCAGGAUGACGGCCCUAUGGGUUGUAAACUGCUUUUAUAAGGGAAUAAAGUGAGUCUCGUGAGACUUUUUGCAUGUACCUUAUGAAUAAGGACCGGCUAAUUCCGUG